GCCGGGGUGGCGGAAUUGGCAGACGCACAGGACUUAAAAUCCUGCGGUACGUGAGUACCGUACGGGUUCGACCCCCGUCCUCGGCACUA
rnacentral:tRNA from 2 species